rnacentral:rRNA from 1 species
AAUACCGCAUGAUGUCGCAAGACCAAAGUGGGGGACCUUARGGCCUCACGCCAUGAGAUGAACCCAGAUGAGAUUAGCUAGUAGGUGCGGUAAUGGCGUACCUAGGCGACGAUCUCUAGCUGGUCUGAGAGGAUGACCAGCCACACUGGAACUGAGAGACGGUCCAGACUCCUACGGGAGGCAGCAGUGGGGAAUAUUGCACAAUGGGCGGAAGCCUGAUGCAGCCAUGCCGCGUGUGUGAAGAAGGCCUUAGGGUUGUAAAGCACUUUCAGCGGGGAGGAAGGCGGUAAGAGUAAUAUGCUUAUCRAUUGACGUUACCCGCAAAAGAAGCACCGGCUAACUCCGUGCCAGCAGCCGCGGUAAUACGGAGGGUGCGAGCGUUAAUCGGAAUAACUGGGCGUAAAGRGCAUGUAGGCGGUAAGUUAAGUCAGAUGUGAAAUCCCCGAGCUUAACUUGGGAACGGCAUUUGAGACUGGCUGGCUAGAGUUUUGUAGAGGGGGGUAGAAUUCCAGGUGUAGCGGUGAAAUGCGUAGAGAUCUGGAGGAAUACCGGUGGCGAAGGCGGCCCCCUGGACAAGGACUGACGCUGAGGUGCGAAAGCGUGGGUAGCAAACAGGAUUAGAUACCCUGGUAGUCCACGCUGUAAACGAUGUCGAUUUGGAGGUUGUGACCUAGUGUUAUGG